rnacentral:rRNA from 1 species
AGUGAACGCUGGCGGUAGGCCUAACACAUGCAAGUCGAACGGCAGCACAGUAAGAGCUUGCUCUUACGGGUGGCGAGUGGCGGACGGGUGAGGAAUACAUCGGAAUCUACUUUUUCGUGGGGGAUAACGUAGGGAAACUUACGCUAAUACCGCAUACGACCUACGGGUGAAAGCAGGGGAUCUUCGGACCUUGCGCGAUUGAAUGAGCCGAUGUCGGAUUAGCUAGUUGGCGGGGUAAAGGCCCACCAAGGCGACGAUCCGUAGCUGGUCUGAGAGGAUGAUCAGCCACACUGGAACUGAGACACGGUCCAGACUCCUACAGGAGGCAGCAGUGGGCAAUAUUAGACAAUGGGCGGAAGCCUGAUCCAGCCAUACCGCGUGUGUGAAAAAGACCUUCGGGUUGUAAAGCCCUUUUGUUGGGAAAGAAAAGCAGCAGGUUAAUACCCCGCUGUUCUGACGGUACCCAAAAAAUAAGCACCGGCUAACUUCGUG